UACGUAGGGGGCUAGCGUUGUCCGGAAUCAUUGGGCGUAAAGCGCGUGUAGGCGGUCCGGUAAGUCCGCUGUGAAAGUCGGGGGCUCAACCCUCGGAUGCCGGUGGAUACUGUCGGGCUUGAGUACGGAAGAGGCGAGUGGAAUUCCUGGUGUAGCGGUGAAAUGCGCAGAUAUCAGGAGGAACACCAAUUGCGAAGGCAGCUCGCUGGGACGUUACUGACGCUGAGGCGCGAAGCGUGGGAGC
rnacentral:rRNA from 1 species